CAUGCUCGUCACCGUCAAUGGACGCAAUUUCCGCCGCUGCCAUCAUGAUUUAUGGCGAUGAGAUAUAUGCACACGCUCGUCACCUUCCAUCUGACGAUCAACAAACGAUCUUGAACGUUUUAUGUCAUGUCAACAUUUACAGACGGCCCCAUCUGUUAGAAAUCAGAUUAAUUUAGGCCAGAUCGGUCAUCAAUGUUUAUUGAGAAAAUUAACAAGAAGACAGGUAGAUUUUUAGAUGAGAACUUCAAAUAUGAUUUGUUUUGCAAUUCUUUUUUUUCGUAGUAUCUGCUUGUUUGACGUCAUGAUACAUGGACAAUUUGUUUGAUGCGAUGAUGUGUGCGGGCUGCCACACACGGCCAGCCAUUGCUAUAGUGCAGCCAGUACCCCGCCAUUAGGUCCAGUAGCCAGCAAGCUAGUGCAUCAACUUGCAUGAGUUGGAAUUUAUGUAACGUCUUGGGCCAAUUGCAUAUGCGGCCAGACGUGUAUGUCCCCACUCCCUUGCCAGUGGUUAAAUACGUGCUCAGACCUAGCCGCCAAGUUAAUUUCGCACCCUAGCCUG
rnacentral:lncRNA from 1 species